rnacentral:RNase_P_RNA from 1 species
CCCGCAGACCGCCUUAUCGUCGUUCGCUUUUUGCGAAGGGAGGAAAGUCCGGACACCAUAGAGAAGCAUAGCGGGUAACUCCCGUCGGAUUGCGCAAUCAAUUGCAAUCAAUUCAGGACAAGUGCAACAGAAAGUAUGUACAGGUAAUGCUGUAGUGAAACCAGGUAAACUCUAUGCGGUGAAAUAUCAAGUAUAUCAGCAUUUAAGGGCUUCUCGUCCGUUGUUGAAGGGUAGAUAGCUUGAACUUAUGAGUAAUUGUAAGUCUAGAUAAAUGAUAAGGCUCCGAUUUAUCGGGGACAGAAUCCGGCUUAUAGGUCUGCAUUUUUU